GGUUAAGCGACUAAGCGUACACGGUGGAUGCCCUGGCAGUCAGAGGCGAUGAAGGACGUGCUAAUCUGCGAUAAGCGUCGGUAAGGUGAUAUGAACCGUUAUAACCGGCGAUUUCCGAAUGGGGAAACCCAGUGUGUUUCGACACACUAUCAUUAACUGAAUCCAUAGGUUAAUGAGGCGAACCGGGGGAACUGAAACAUCUAAGUACCCCGAGGAAAAGAAAUCAACCGAGAUUCCCCCAGUAGCGGCGAGCGAACGGGGAGCAGCCCAGAGCCUGAAUCAGUGUGUGUGUUAGUGGAAGCGUCUGGAAAGGCGCGCGAUACAGGGUGACAGCCCCGUACACAAAAAUGCACAUGCUGUGAGCUCGAUGAGUAGGGCGGGACACGUGGUAUCCUGUCUGAAUAUGGGGGGACCAUCCUCCAAGGCUAAAUACUCCUGACUGACCGAUAGUGAACCAGUACCGUGAGGGAAAGGCGAAAAGAACCCCGGCGAGGGGAGUGAAAAAGAACCUGAAACCGUGUACGUACAAGCAGUGGGAGCCUCUUUAUGGGGUGACUGCGUACCUUUUGUAUAAUGGGUCAGCGACUUAUAUUCUGUAGCAAGGUUAACCGAAUAGGGGAGCCGAAGGGAAACCGAGUCUUAACUGGGCGUUAAGUUGCAGGGUAUAGACCCGAAACCCGGUGAUCUAGCCAUGGGCAGGUUGAAGGUUGGGUAACACUAACUGGAGGACCGAACCGACUAAUGUUGAAAAAUUAGCGGAUGACUUGUGGCUGGGGGUGAAAGGCCAAUCAAACCGGGAGAUAGCUGGUUCUCCCCGAAAGCUAUUUAGGUAGCGCCUCGUGAACUCAUCUCCGGGGGUAGAGCACUGUUUCGGCAAGGGGGUCAUCCCGACUUACCAACCCGAUGCAAACUGCGAAUACCGGAGAAUGUUAUCACGGGAGACACACGGCGGGUGCUAACGUCCGUCGUGAAGAGGGAAACAACCCAGACCGCCAGCUAAGGUCCCAAAGUCAUGGUUAAGUGGGAAACGAUGUGGGAAGGCCCAGACAGCCAGGAUGUUGGCUUAGAAGCAGCCAUCAUUUAAAGAAAGCGUAAUAGCUCACUGGUCGAGUCGGCCUGCGCGGAAGAUGUAACGGGGCUAAACCAUGCACCGAAGCUGCGGCAGCGACACUAUGUGUUGUUGGGUAGGGGAGCGUUCUGUAAGCCUGUGAAGGUGUGCUGUGAGGUAUGCUGGAGGUAUCAGAAGUGCGAAUGCUGACAUAAGUAACGAUAAAGCGGGUGAAAAGCCCGCUCGCCGGAAGACCAAGGGUUCCUGUCCAACGUUAAUCGGGGCAGGGUGAGUCGACCCCUAAGGCGAGGCCGAAAGGCGUAGUCGAUGGGAAACAGGUUAAUAUUCCUGUACUUGGUGUUACUGCGAAGGGGGGACGGAGAAGGCUAUGUUGGCCGGGCGACGGUUGUCCCGGUUUAAGCGUGUAGGCUGGUUUUCCAGGCAAAUCCGGAAAAUCAAGGCUGAGGCGUGAUGACGAGGCACUACGGUGCUGAAGCAACAAAUGCCCUGCUUCCAGGAAAAGCCUCUAAGCAUCAGGUAACAUCAAAUCGUACCCCAAACCGACACAGGUGGUCAGGUAGAGAAUACCAAGGCGCUUGAGAGAACUCGGGUGAAGGAACUAGGCAAAAUGGUGCCGUAACUUCGGGAGAAGGCACGCUGAUAUGUAGGUGAAGUCCCUUGCGGAUGGAGCUGAAAUCAGUCGAAGAUACCAGCUGGCUGCAACUGUUUAUUAAAAACACAGCACUGUGCAAACACGAAAGUGGACGUAUACGGUGUGACGCCUGCCCGGUGCCGGAAGGUUAAUUGAUGGGGUCAGCGCAAGCGAAGCUCUUGAUCGAAGCCCCGGUAAACGGCGGCCGUAACUAUAACGGUCCUAAGGUAGCGAAAUUCCUUGUCGGGUAAGUUCCGACCUGCACGAAUGGCGUAAUGAUGGCCAGGCUGUCUCCACCCGAGACUCAGUGAAAUUGAACUCGCUGUGAAGAUGCAGUGUACCCGCGGCAAGACGGAAAGACCCCGUGAACCUUUACUAUAGCUUGACACUGAACAUUGAGCCUUGAUGUGUAGGAUAGGUGGGAGGCUUGGAAGUGUGGACGCCAGUCUGCAUGGAGCCGACCUUGAAAUACCACCCUUUAAUGUUUGAUGUUCUAACGUUGACCCGUGAUCCGGGUUGCGGACAGUGUCUGGUGGGUAGUUUGACUGGGGCGGUCUCCUCCUAAAGAGUAACGGAGGAGCACGAAGGUUGGCUAAUCCUGGUCGGACAUCAGGAGGUUAGUGCAAUGGCAUAAGCCAGCUUGACUGCGAGCGUGACGGCGCGAGCAGGUGCGAAAGCAGGUCAUAGUGAUCCGGUGGUUCUGAAUGGAAGGGCCAUCGCUCAACGGAUAAAAGGUACUCCGGGGAUAACAGGCUGAUACCGCCCAAGAGUUCAUAUCGACGGCGGUGUUUGGCACCUCGAUGUCGGCUCAUCACAUCCUGGGGCUGAAGUAGGUCCCAAGGGUAUGGCUGUUCGCCAUUUAAAGUGGUACGCGAGCUGGGUUUAGAACGUCGUGAGACAGUUCGGUCCCUAUCUGCCGUGGGCGCUGGAGAACUGAGGGGGGCUGCUCCUAGUACGAGAGGACCGGAGUGGACGCAUCACUGGUGUUCGGGUUGUCAUGCCAAUGGCACUGCCCGGUAGCUAAAUGCGGAAGAGAUAAGUGCUGAAAGCAUCUAAGCACGAAACUUGCCCCGAGAUGAGUUCUCCCUGACCCUUUAAGGGUCCUGAAGGAACGUUGAAGACGACGACGUUGAUAGGCCGGGUGUGUAAGCGCAGCGAUGCGUUGAGCUAACCGGUACUAAUGAACCGUGAGGCUUAACCUU
rnacentral:rRNA from 1 species